rnacentral:rRNA from 1 species
AUGUGGGAAGGCCCAGACAGCCAGGAUGUUGGCUUAGAAGCAGCCAUCAUUUAAAGAAAGCGUAAUAGCUCACUGGUCGAGUCGGCCUGCGCGGAAGAUGUAACGGGGCUAAACCAUGCACCGAAGCUGCGGCAGCGACGCUGAUGCGUUGUUGGGUAGGGGAGCGUUCUGUAAGCCUGUGAAGGUGGCCUGUGAGGGUUGCUGGAGGUAUCAGAAGUGCGAAUGCUGACAUAAGUAACGAUAAAGCGGGUGAAAAGCCCGCUCGCCGGAAGACCAAGGGUUCCUGUCCAACGUUAAUCGGGGCAGGGUGAGUCGACCCCUAAGGCGAGGCCGAAAGGCGUAGUCGAUGGGAAACGGGUUAAUAUUCCCGUACUUGGUGUUACUGCGAAGGGGGGACGGAGAAGGCUAUGUUGGCCGGGCGACGGUUGUCCCGGUUUAAGCGUGUAGGUGUGUGUUCCAGGUAAAUCCGGUUCACUUUAACACUGAGGCGUGAUGACGAGGCACUACGGUGCUGAAGCAACAAAUGCCCUGCUUCCAGGAAAAGCCUCUAAGCAUCAGGUAACAUCAAAUCGUACCCCAAACCGACACAGGUGGUCAGGUAGAGAAUACCAAGGCGCUUGAGAGAACUCGGGUGAAGGAACUAGGCAAAAUGGUGCCGUAACUUCGGGAGAAGGCACGCUGACAC